rnacentral:rRNA from 1 species
CCUACGGGAGGCAGCAGUGAGGAAUAUUGGUCAAUGGGCGCGAGCCUGAACCAGCCAAGUCGCGUGAGGGAGGACGGCCCUACGGGUUGUAAACCUCUUUUGCCGGGGAGCAACGGGCGUCACGUGUGGCGCCACUGAGAGUACCCGGAGAAAAAGCAUCGGCUAACUCCGUGCCAGCAGCCGCGGUAAUACGGAGGAUGCGAGCGUUAUCCGGAUUUAUUGGGUGUAAAGGGAGCGUAGGCGGGGAUGCAAGUUGGGUGUCAAAACUACCGGCUCAACUGGUAGUCGCACUCAAAACUGCAGCUCUUGAGUGAAGUAGAGGCAGGCGGAAUUCCUAGUGUAGCGGUGAAAUGCGUAGAUAUUAGGAGGAACACCAGUGGCGAAGGCGGCCUGCUGGGCUUUUACUGACGCUGAGGCUCGAAAGUGUGGGGAGCAAACAGGAUUAGAUACCCCAGUAGUC